GGGAACAAGCUGGGGAAGGAGAAGUCAUCACUUGAAUCACCCUUAAGCCCUGUCAGUGGGUUCCUCUGGAAGUAUCUCAGGUAAAUCCAGCUGACAUACAUCCCCGAUAGCAGAGUUGGAAGGAAGUUAAUGGAAUCAGGUACAAUGAAGGCCAUGAUAGUUGAGAAGCAUAGCACGAAGAAUGGCAUCCACUUAGCCUUUAUUUUCCAGAAAAAGCACAUGGGGAGCUCAAGGUUUGGUAAAAGUUGUUUCAGGCCAACAAGAAAGCCAGCAAGGGCAC
rnacentral:misc_RNA from 1 species